GGUUCACUAGGGGGAGAAAAAAUCGCUAGGGGGAGACACAUGCAAGGAAGAAUAAUAUCAUAAAGAAUGUGAAACAUGGAAUUUGAUUGCAUUAGAAAAGCCUAUCUAUUUCAUCGAAUUAACGCGCAGAUAGUUUGGUGUAUUCCCUUCCACUGAGUCAAUGGAUUGCAGUCUGAUGAAUUCUACAUUAAGUAAUGCAGAUCUCCAGCAUCUGCAGUUCUUUGUUUUAUUUCGGUGUUUUCGUGAGGUGCAGAGGCAACAUCCUGAUGGGAACAGGUGGAGGCCAAGAAUGGACCCAAUGGGAAUCCAGGGGUAAUGGUGCAGGAGGGAAUGAGAAGAAAUUGAAGGAAAUUCUCUCCAGCUGUGAUCAGAUCCUAUGAAGACCUUAAUAAGGAGUAUUCUGUUAGAAGAGUGUGAUUCCUUAAAGAGACACUAGAGGACCUGCAACAACAAUCACCUGCCAGUGACAGAAAACAAAACAGCAAUCGACAUUCAGCCAGCAGCUCAUUUCAAGAAGCCAGAUUUGUGUACUAUUAAUCUGGGUACCAUCUGGUAACUAUUCUUUUGAAUAAAUAUAAGUGCACCAAUUUGAUGGGACUAUGUAAUUUUAUCAUAUCGCUGCACUAGAAGUGCACACUGCAUAACUGUCACCAGUGCUUCAUCGUGGGUCCCUCAACUUAGAAAGGUAUAGUGUGGCAAUGCCCAGGAUCCCAUGUAACCUCAUUAUCCA